ACGGGGCUUUACCAAGGCGAUGAUGCAUAGCCCGAGUUGAGAGACUGAUCGGGCCACAUUGGGGACUGAGACACGGGCCCAAAACUCCUACGGGGAGGCAGCAGUAGGGAAUCUUCCACAAUGGACGAAAGUCUGAUGGAGCAACGCCGCGUGAGUGAAGAAGGUUUUCGGAUCGUAAAAGCUCUGUUGUUGGUGAAGAAGGAUAGAGGUAGUAACUGGCCUUUAUUUGACGGUAAUCAACCAGAAGUCACGGCUAACUACGUGCCAGCAGCCGCGGUAAU
rnacentral:rRNA from 1 species